rnacentral:rRNA from 1 species
UACAGAGGGGGCAAGCGUUAUUCGGAAUUAUUGGGCGUAAAGGGCGCGUAGGCGGCCUAGCAAGUGGCGGGUGAAAUCCCUCGGCUUAACCGAGGAACUGCCUGCCAGACUGCCUGGCUCGAGACCGGGAGAGGUGAGUGGAAUUCCCAGUGUAGCGGUGAAAUGCGUAGAUAUUGGGAGGAACACCGGUGGCGAAGGCGGAUCUCUGGGCCAUUACUGACGCUGAGGAGCGAAAGCGUGGGGAGCGAACAGG